UGGGGAAUAUUGGACAAUGGGCGCAAGCCUGAUCCAGCCAUGCCGCGUGAGUGAUGAAGGCCUUAGGGUUGUAAAGCUCUUUCGCACGCGACGAUAAUGACGGUAGCGUGAGAAGAAGCCCCGGCUAACUUCGUGCCAGCAGCCGCGGUAAUACGAAGGGGGCUAGCGUUGUUCGGAUUAACUGGGCGUAAAGGGCGCGUAGGCGGGUUUUUAAGUCAGGGGUGAAAUCCCAAGGCUCAACCUUGGAACUGCCUUUGAUACUGGAAGUCUUGAGUCCGGGAGAGGUGAGUGGAACUGCGAGUGUAGAGGUGAAAUUCGUAGAUAUUCGCAAGAACACCAGUGGCGAAGGCGGCUCACUGGCCCGGUACUGACGCUGAGGCGCGAAAGCGUGGGGAGCAAAC
rnacentral:rRNA from 1 species